CCUCCGUGCUGCUGCUGACCCACAGGAGCCAGGAGAAGCCUGGAGGGAGCAGGAGCUGUGAUUUGCACCUCAGGAAAAGCCAGGUGCAUGCUGGUGUAGGCUGCCUGUGGAGAGAUGCAGAGACAUUCAAGCUGUUAUUUGUUAUUCUCCUGAAGCACAGCGAAGCAGCCCCGGUGAGGAGUGAUCCCAGGCUGUGGCAUGUUCCAGCAGACGUGGUGGAAUGUGACAGCAAGGAACACACGCUGCCUGAGUCUCCCUGGGGAGAUGGGAGCAACAAUCAUGCUCGUUUGGUGUCCUUGCUGCCUGCAGUCACCCUGCACAGGAGGAGCCCGGUGGUCACUCUUGUCCCCGCAGCAGCAGACGUCGCCCAUCAAUGCUGCUGCCAGGACUCUGGUAAUGGAAGGUUCAGCUCCCUGGGACUGGCGGAGUCACGGCAUCAGGACUGGUAAGUGGGGAAUAACCAGCAUGUUUCUGUUAGCUGAUAGGAAACAUCCAAAGCAGUACUGCCAGCUGGAGGUCCUGUGCUCAUUUCAUACAAACCCUCGCUGCAGAGCAGCAUGCUUGGCUUUGCAGUAGGUGUGUUGCACACAACACAGGUAUGCG